GAAUGCCCAGUAUUGUUGCUCCCUUUUCUACAAAGCUAGGCCCGUGGAGAGAGUCUGCUCAUUGGCCGAGAGGAGGGAAGGAGAAGACUAGGCAAUAGAGGAGUCACUGGGGUCUCCCGGGAAUGGUUAAUAUUUGAAGCAUAUAAGGGUGAUGGAGUUUCUUUUUGAGGACUGCGGUGCGCCUCUGUGUGUUUGUUCCGUGGCUAAUGAGUAAUACUGGCAGCAGGCAGGCAGCUAGCUUAGUGGUCGUAGUAAACGGGAGCUAUGUUACGUCCACAGCGUUUAGGAGCGCCUGGUGAGGAGAGCUGAAGUACAUAGUGGUGGACUAUUUUUGUGAGUUAUUUAUCUAUUGAGAGUUGACUUAAAAUCAAUUCAAUGGAUUUAGCAAAUUGUUAAAUAUGAUAUGAAGUAAGCCUAUGUGAGCAUGAACUUUUCGGUUUGAAAUUAUUUGACAGUAUCUGCAUGUUUGUUGUAUGUUUCUGGUUGAAGAAGACCGAUUGCAAGUUUGUUACGUCCAGUAAUUUACCAUAUGUUACCUUAUGUGGUAUGUCUUGCGCUUUUGGUGAUUUUUCUAUGCAUGAUGACAGACCAGGGUAAUGGAAGACUUUAAAGUUAAUAUUCCUUGUGGUUCAGAGACAAGCAACUCUUAUUGGACAGGGGAAUGUGCCACUCCCUUGGCUUCCUAAAAAUGUAUUGGCAAAAUUAUAUAUCAAAGUAAUGGCUUCCCAUAUGACCUAAUUCAAUUUUACAAUUUCUUAUCGGCCAGGUCAGGAGAUGCCAAAUAUCAUGCCAAUGGCUUGAAUUGUGACCAAAAUUCCCGCUUUUCUCUCCAGUCACUCAUUGUAGUGUGUAAUGUCUAGGUCACAGGGUCUGAUCAUUUGAAAGGCUAGAAUGGCUGCAACUGAAAACAUCUUGGAGCUGUGGUUGUGGAUUCUAGGCAUUUUCCCUCAGGCCUCACCCCAUGGCAGUUGAAACCAGGGCCAUGUUUGAUGAGCAUCCUGAAAAACCUCCUCACUCUAAAACGGAUAUUGUGUAGUGUUUGUUUACAUGAAUGGAAGCAAAGUCAGGUUUAUUUAUCUAUGUUGAUGGCUUUAGUGGAAAACCUGCUAUGGUUCAAUGAUGAGGCUUGAGGAUGUAACCUAAGCACCCGUUUCCAAGCCUUGUGACUGCAGUUGCUUAGUCUCUCUCAUCUGGAGGUUUGUAGGCUGGUUGAAGUGGGAGAGGAGAUCUCGUUAUGCCAUGUUAUUGUUUGAAAAUGACCAUUGUAAAUGCUAGGUCUAGACCGUGUUUUGUGAUAAGAUUUAAAAUGUAGCUCUUAUGUCCUGUUUCUGUUACGUUUUCAUCAGGACAGACCUUUCCUAGACAGAUAUUUGGGUCUGACAAAGAACAGAGUUUGGAAUCCCAGUAGUCUCAUGGAACACGGAAUGACGGCGGCUAUAUCGACUCAACCAAUCAGAGCCUGGCUCUCAUGGACCCUUGGCCAAGAACAUGUGUGUAAUGUGCUGCUCGGCCACCUCCAUACACGAUUGACAUGCUCAGACACAUGAGACUUCUUCCAGAUGAGGUUCAAGAUGGAGACUCCGACAUCAUUGGAGGACAAGAGAAAAGGAGAAGACUGUGUUGGCAUUUGGCUUUACCAACGUCAGCGAAUCAAUACUUUUAUACCGGAGUCGUUCUUGAAUUGCGGUGGCAUUUGGGCAUGGCAUACAAAAAAAAACACAUUAUUUAUAGAUUUGUAUUUAACAUUGUGCCACCAGUGGGAAUGGUAACACCAAUGAGACUUUUGGUUGUUGAGAAUUUUCUUAAAUGGAGGCCACACAUGCUCAAAUCUAAGGUCAUUAACCCAGAAAAUAAUUUACUAAAUAAAAUUAAAUAAAAAAUCUAA